rnacentral:sRNA from 1 species
AGGACUGUGUCCGUGGGGGGCGUGGUGAAGAGUGUGGCCUGGAACCCCAGCCCUGCUGUCUGCCUGGUGGCAGCGGCCGUGUAAGUGGAGGCCCUGGGGGCUGGGGAGGCAGGGGUGGCACUGUGCUUAGGGGCUGUGUCUGGGCCUGGCUCACAGGGAGGACUCAGUGCUGCUGCUGAACCCAGCUCUGGGGGACCGGCUGGUGGCGGGCAGCACAGAUCAGCUGUUGAGUGCCUUCGUCCCGCCUGAGGAGCCCCCCUUGCAGCCGGCCCGCUGGCUGGAGGCCUCAAAGGAGGAGCGCCAAGUGGGCCUGCGGCUGCGCAUCUGCCACGGCAAGGUGCGUGGGGUGCAUUGGGGGUGAGGCUGCAGUGGGAGGGGCCUGGCUCAGCCAAUCAGCCAGCCUUGCUCUCCUGCAGCCAGUGACACAGGUGACCUGGCACGGGCGUGGGGACUACCUGGCGGUGGUGCUGGCCACCCAAGGCCACACCCAGGUGCUGAUUCACCAGCUGAGCCGUCGCCGCAGCCAGAGCCCGUUCCGCCGCAGCCACGGACAGGUGCAGCGAGUGGCCUUCCACCCUGCCCGGCCCUUCUUGUUGGUGGCGUCCCAGCGCAGCGUCCGCCUCUACCACCUGCUGCGCCAGGAGCUCACCAAGAAGCUGAUGCCCAACUGCAAGUGGGUGUCCAGCCUGGCGGUGCACCCUGCAGCAGGUGAGGGGUGGUGGGGGCGGUGCACCCUGCAGGUGAGGGGUGGUGGGCGGUGCACCCUGCAGGUGAGGGGUGGUGGGGGCGGUGCACCCUGCAGGUGAGGGGUAUAGGUGACGGGCAGGGCGGUGCACCCUGCAGGUGAGAGCGGGAACACCUGCAUCACAGCCUUUGGCCCUAGGUGACAACGUCAUCUGUGGGAGCUACGAUAGCAAGCUUGUGUGGUUUGACCUGGAUC